AAUAAAGCUACUACAACGGCAUCUUGAUAACCAGGUCAGGGUAGGAAUACAGCAGCCUUACUUAAGCUCUGUCGUGUGUGGUGGCUUUUUUUUU
rnacentral:SRP_RNA from 1 species